rnacentral:rRNA from 1 species
CAGUAGCCACGGUAAUACAGAGGGUGCAAGCGUUAAUCGGAAUUACUGGGCGUAAAGCGCGCGUAGGUGGUUCGCCAAGUUGGAUGUGAAAUCCCCGGGCUCAACCUGGGAACUGCAUCCAAAACUGGCGAGCUAGAGUAUGGUAGAGGGUGGUGGAAUUUCCUGUGUAGCGGUGAAAUGCGUAGAUAUAGGAAGGAACAUCAGUGGCGAAGGCGACCACCUGGACUGAUACUGACACUGAGGUGCGAAAGCGUGGGGAGCAAACAGGAUUAGAUACCCGGGUAGUCCCUGUCUCUUAUAC